GUCAGCAGUCAGAGUCUAGUGUCUGCUGUUCUGCUGUAUUCUUCCAAGUAUCUUGUCUCUUACAGAAGACUCAAGUCAUUCAAGCUAUUUAGCUAUAGAUCGACGCUUAAGAGCUGUGUGAUGAUCAGAUGAUUAUCGCCUCCUAGUGUGCGAAUCGUAACGUUGUGGUGGAGCUGUUCAAACGGACUCCGAGAGAAGGAAGUGAAAGAACGGGCGGUAAAUGUUGUUACUCCAAAAUGACCGGGAACAGCCUCGAGGCUGGAUUGCACUCGUACCAUCACAUGGGACCUGCUGGCCGGGAUGUCCUUCCCUGGCUGUCUCGGAUCAAGCUGCCAAAAAUUAUCAUUCUAGUCCUGGUGCUUCUCUGCAUCAUCCCGUUGUUCACCCAUUAUUAUCUAUCAAAAGUGGAAACCGAUCUGUCAAACAUGGACAUUCACCAAACUCGUACCAGGUUAGAAGGUUUUCACGAUUUUACAUCCAUGAGGGCAGCUGACUUGAAGGCUCGUAUUGAAGAAAUGCUACGUAUAAAACAGUCUGUUAGUAAUGAGCUCAGAGAUCUAGAAGCCAAGCGGAGAAAACUGCAUUCGGAUGUUAGCAGUCUGACUUCACAGAUUGACGAAUUAAAACAAGAGCUGCUGCAUCAACAGAUGGACCUGGAUAGAUUAAAAAUCAGUGUAGUGCAGGCUCAAGCAGCCCAGAGAGAAGCUGUUGAACGCAAUACACCAGAACUGGCACCACCAAAGAGAAUCCUGAGCAGCAAUAUCCUUGAAGUCCUUCCUCCGAACCCAAAUUCUAAAUCAUGUAGAAUGUUUAACUGUUUUGAUCACAGUCGCUGUGCUUUGACCAGUGGCUUUCCGGUAUAUCUCUAUGAUCCAGAUGAAUUCCCUAUUGUUAAUAUAGGCUGGGAUAUAGAUGGAUUUUUAAAAACUUAUAUUAAGAAGACUUUGGGUUACAAUGCACAUUUGACAUUUGAUCCAGCAGAAGCCUGCAUAUACAUAGUCCUUGUAGGUGAAGCAUUAUCUGUGUCGCAGACACCUGCAACUUCUGGAAGUCCAUUAGAUAUUAAGAAACUGCAAUCGCUUCCAUAUUGGGGUGGUGAUGGUAGAAAUCAUAUACUGCUUAAUUUAGCUCGUAGAGAUUUGUCAGCUGAUUCUGGAAGUCUAUUUGAUGGAGUGGACACUGGCAGAGCUAUAAUUGUCCAGUCAACAUUCUAUAGAGAACGUUUCAGGGAGGGCUUUGACUUAAUUGUACCACCAAUACUUGGACCACCAGGAGGUGACGUCUGGCCAGAAUGUGCUCACAUGUUACCUGCCAGAAGGAAAUUCUUACUAUCAUUCCAAGGAGAAAUGAGAGCUUUAAAGUCAUCCACUCCUCAUCAAGUGGUAGAUGAUGCAGAAUUGGAUAUUGAAAGGGUGUCUCUUGAUGAGAACAACUUAGACAAUUUUAUUAUUCAACAUCUGAAAGAUAUGAGUAAUGGAGGAACUUUGGAUAAAUUUUUCAUACAAUUUGAAUGCAUUCCAGCAUCAGAGGAGAAGAAGGUCAAUGAGGUACUAGAUUGGUCUCUCUGCGGUACAGAUUCGUCGAGAAAAGCUAUUCUAAAGGAGUCUACUUUCGCGCUCAUUUUGGCUCCGAGUAACGUUAGCUUUUUGUCGACUGCUUUGAUGCAGGCACGACUGUACGAAGCUUUGAGAUCUGGUGCCAUACCUGUCAUUCUGGGUGGCGAUAGAGUAGCUUUGAGCUACAAAGAAGUCAUUGUUUGGCGUAGGGCCGCUAUCUUUUUGCCCAAGGCAAGAGUCACCGAAAUGCACUUUUUAUUGAGAGCCGUUCCGGACAAUGAUUUAUUAGCUAUGCGAAGGCAAGGAAGAAUUAUUUGGGAGAGAUAUUUCGGUACAGCACAAAGUGUCGUCGAUACGAUUGUCGGUGUGCUCAGAGAUCGUUUGGGAAUACCACCUUUGCCAGCGCCACAAACGCCAAGUACAAGUAUUUUCAAUUCAUCAUUUGUGCCUUUGAGAUCAGACGCUGUGAUUGCGGAAUCGGAAGCCGAGGAAAGCCUUGGACCACUGGAACCACCGUACCCAUCGCCAUCUUAUAGAAGAAAUUACACGGUCAUGUUAGUGCAAGGAUAUGAAAUGUGGAAUGAUUGGAUCGAUCCGUUCAAUCUAUACCCACAACUGCCAUUUGAUACGGUUCUGCCAAGUGACGCCAAAUUCAUUGGCUCUGAAGUAGGAUUCCGUCCUAUCGGAAAAGGGGCUGGUGGUGCUGGAAAGGAAUUCAGCGAGUCGCUUGGUGGGAACCACCCUCGAGAACAAUUUACAGUUGUGAUGCUAACUUACGAAAGAGAACAAGUAUUGAUUAAUUCUCUAGCUCGUCUCUACGGAUUGCCAUAUUUGAACAAAGUCAUUGUCGUCUGGAAUAGUCCGAAGCCACCCAUGGAGGAUCUUAGGUGGCCCGAUAUCGGUGUUCCUAUACACGUCGUGAAAACGAAAAGAAAUAGCUUGAACAAUAGAUUUAUGCCAUUCGAUGCCAUCGAAACGGAAGCAGUUUUAUCGGUCGACGAUGACGCGCAUUUGAGACACGAUGAAAUAAUGUUUGGAUUCAGAGUAUGGAGGGAGCACAGAGAUAGAGUCGUAGGUUUUCCAGGUCGUUUUCACGCUUGGGAUCAAAAUAACCACAAUACCUGGAAUUAUAAUUCCAAUUAUUCGUGUGAAUUGUCGAUGGUAUUGACAGGAGCCGCUUUUAUUCACAAGCAUUAUACAUAUUUGUAUACGCAUUUUCUACCACAAGCAAUUAGGGACAAAGUGGACGAGUACAUGAACUGCGAGGACAUAGCAAUGAAUUUCUUAGUUGCUCACAUUACGAGAAAACCACCCGUGAAGGUAACUUCCAGAUGGACGUUCAGGUGUCCCGGAUGUCCCGUCUCAUUAUCGGAAGACGAUACGCAUUUCCAAGAAAGACACAGAUGCAUAAACUUCUUCUCACAAGUAUUUGGUUAUAUGCCUCUGUUGAACACGCAGUAUCGCGCUGAUUCAAUACUCUUCAAAACCAGAAUACCGCAUGACAAGCAAAAGUGCUUUAAAUUCAUAUGAACACUGCAGCUGAAAUUUAAGAUUGUACGAUCAAAUAUCCUAGUAUAAAUGAACGUGAGAUUUUUUAAUAUCAACCUGAGAGGCCAUAACAGUUAUAGAUAAUUUACCAGCAGAGUGAACAUUAUAUUUUAAAUUUAGAUACCUAAUUCGUUUUAAUCAAACAAAGCAAUGUAUAAGACUAAGUAUUUUUGACAGUCUUUGAAGUUUUUUAAAUUUUGUAACUUUUUUUAUUGCCCAUAUAAACCCACAAUCCAGUGCCAAAUUUGUGGUAUUACGUAAUAACCCUCGUGUAUCAGUGAGCGCGUGAUGCAAAGAGCAUGUGGAAUAGUUUGUUGCAUAAAUGUAAAUAAUACGAUUAGCGACGCAUAUAUAUAUAUAUAUAUAUAUAUAUAUAUAUAUAUAUAUAUAUAUAAAAAUACAUAUACAUAUAUCACUGAGUGAUGGGCGCAAGAUAUGUAUGUAGACUUUGUAAAAAUCAUUGUUGAAUUUGUAAACUAAACUGCAUCCUUUUACACUGUGAUAACAGCACACUGAUUUUGGAGAAAAUUUUUCUUUCGUAUCGUCAGCGUAUGUGAAUCGCGUUUGUACUCGUCUAAAUCGUCUUCGUAGCUAUAUUUUUUGUUAUAGAAUAUGGAUCUUAAGUUACCCUUUAUGUCAUAGUUUUAUUUGUACCAGCGGACGAUCAAACAUAAUAUGUAUACAUAGGUAUACAGAGGUUGUCCCAAGCGACUCAUUCUGCGUUCCUUGAUAUGCUGAGAGCUGUGAAACGAGGUCAUUAGUUUGGGACACCGCAUGUAUAGGUAUGUGCUACACAAUAAUUUGCGCACUCUGGUAUCAUCAGAGAACUGUGAAAGACAAAUUCGCCAUGAAUUUUCUCUCGAGAUUUAUCUUACACUUGCACUUUGUACCAUUAUACAUGCAUUAAUAUUGUUUAUUAUAAUUCAUAAACUAAUAAAUACUAAGCCAUGAAAAAA